rnacentral:rRNA from 1 species
CCCUUAGAUGUCCUGGGCCGCACGCGUGCUACACUGACGCAUACAGCGAGCACUUUCCAGUUCCGAGAGGCUACUGGUAAUCAUCAAUAUGCGUCGUGAUGGGGAUAGAUCUUUGGAAUUCUGGAUCUUGAACGAGGAAUGCCUAGUAAUCGCAGGUCACUAGCCUGCGAUGAUUAAGUCCCUGCCCUUUGUACACACCGCCCGUCGCUACUACCGAUUUCGAGUGGUCAGGUGAAUCUUUCGGACUGUGGGCGCCCUUGAGGUGUUCGCGGAAAGUCAGGUAAAUCUUAUCACUUAGAGGAAGUAAAAGUCGUAACA